AACGAACGCUGGCGGCAUGCCUAACACAUGCAAGUCGAACGAGACCUUCGGGUCUAGUGGCGCACGGGUUCGUAACGCGUGGGAACCUGCCCUUAGGUUCGGAAUAACUCCCCGAAAGGGGUGCUAAUACCGGAUAAUGUCUUCGGACCAAAGAUUUAUCGCCUUUGGUUGGGCCCGCGUUGGAUUAGCUAGUUGGUAGGGUAAAAGCCUACCAAGGCGACGAUCCAUAGCUGGUCAGAGAGGAUGAUCAGCCACACUGGGACUGAGACACGGCCCAGAAUACUACGGGAGGCAGCAGUGGGGAAUAUUGGACAAUGGGCGAAAGCAUGAACCAGCAAUGCCGCGUGAGUGAUGAAGGCCUUAGGGUUGUAAAGCUCUUUUAACCGGGAUGAUAAUGACAGUAACGGGAGAAUAAGCUCCGGCUAACUCCGUG
rnacentral:rRNA from 1 species